rnacentral:rRNA from 1 species
GGUUGGGGCGCUUUUAUUAGGUCAAGACCAUUCGCCCGGCUCGUCCGGGCGUCUGCUUGAUGAUACAAAAUAACACAUCAGAUCGUAUAGUCUCCGUACCGGCGACUUAUCUUUCAAAUGCCUGACUUAUCAACUGACGAUGGUAGACUCUGUGUCUACCAUGGCUCUUACGGGUAACGGGGAAUCAGGGUUCGAUUCCGGAGAGGGAGCCUGAGAAACGGCUACCACAUCCAAGGAAGGCAGCAGGCACGCAAAUUACCCACUCCCGGCACGGGGAGGUAGUGACAAAAAAUAACGAUACGGGACUCGAUAAGAGGCCCCGUAAUCGGAAUGAAUACACUUUAAACACUUUUUUAAAGAUCCAUUGGAGGGCAAGUCUGGUGCCAGCAGCCGCGGUAAUUCCAGCUCCAAUAGCGUAUAUUAAAGUUGUUGCGGUUAAAAAGCUCGUAGUUGGUUCUGCGUCCCACGCUGUCGGUACACCGUUUGUCGGUGACACUGGCAUGCCGUGGUAUGUCCUGUCGGUGGCGGCCGACUAUCCUUCGAUCGUCGGGUUAGCCCGGUGGUUGAUGGUGUCUUUGGUCGCCGGCUUCUAUCCUGCCGCGGUGCUCUUCAUUGAGUGUCGAGGUAGGCCGACACGUUUACUUUGAACAAAUUAGAGUGCUUAAAGCAGGCUAAAAUUUCUGCCUGAAUAGUGGUGCAUGGAAUAAUAAAACAGGCCCUUGGUUCUAUUUUGUUGGUCUUAGGAACACAAGGAAAUGAUCAAUGUGGACAGGCGGGGGCAUUCGUAUUGCGGCGUUAGAGGUGAAAUUCUUGGAUCGUCGCAAGACGCACUAGAGCGAAAGCAUUUGCCAAGUAUGUCUUAAUUGAUCAAGAACGAAAGUUAGAGGUUCGAAGGCGAUCAGAUACCGCCCUAGUUCUAACCAUAAACGAUGCCAGCCAGCGAUCCGCCGAUGUUCCUCCGAUGACUCGGCGGGGAGCUUUCCCCGGGAAACCAAAGCUUUUGGGUUCCGGGGGAAGUAUGGUUGCAAAGCUGAAACUUAAAGGAAUUGACGGAAGGGCACCACCAGGAGUGGAGCCUGCGGCUUAAUUUGACUCAACACGGGAAAUCUUACCAGGUCAGGACAUUGGAAUGAUUGACAGAUUGAUAGCUCUUUCUUGAUUCAGUGGGUAGUGGUGCAUGGCCGUUCCUAGUUGGUGGACCGAUUUGUCUGGUUAAUUCCGAUAACGAACGAGACUCUAGCCUAUUAACUAGACGAUUUCGGUAUCGAAGCUACCGGCGAACAAUUAUCUUCUUAAGGGGACAGGCGGCUUUUAGCCGCACGAGAUUGAGCAAUAACAGGUCUGUGAUGCCCUUAGAUGUCCUGGGCCGCACGCGCGCUACACUGAAGGAAUCAGCGUGUGCGUUUCCUUGGCCGAAAGGUCCGGGUAACCCGCUGAACCUCCUUCGUGCUAGGAAUUGGGGCUUGCAAUUGUUCCCCAUGAACGAGGAAUUCCCAGUAAGCGCGAGUCAUAAGCU